CCGGACCGGCGCACGGGUGAGUAACGCGUAUGCAACUUACCCAUCAGAGGGGGAUAACCCGGCGAAAGUCGGACUAAUACCGCAUGAAGCAGGGGCCCCGCAUGGGGAUAUUUGCUAAAGAUUCAUCGCUGAUAGAUAGGCAUGCGUUCCAUUAGGCAGUUGGCGGGGUAACGGCCCACCAAACCGACGAUGGAUAGGGGUUCUGAGAGGAAGGUCCCCCACAUUGGUACUGAGACACGGACCAA
rnacentral:rRNA from 1 species